GCUAGGCUGAUUCCAUAUCUUGGCUAUUUGGAAUAGUGCUGCCAUAAACAUGGGAUGCAGGUGUCUCUUCAAUACACUGAUUCCUUUCAUUUGGAUAAAUGCCCAGUACUGGGAUUGCUGGAUCACAUGAUAGUUCUAUUUGUAGGUUUUUUUUUUUUUUUUUUUGAGGAACUCCCAUACUGUUUUCCAUAACAGCUGUACUAAGUUACAUUCCCACCCACAAUAAUGCUGAAGACAUCCCCAGAAGUAGGUAGAAAACUUAUAUUACCAAUUAAAUCCAAUAGAGAGAAAAUAUAAGGUUCAUAGAGAAUAAAUUACUUAGCUAAGAUUAUGCAGAUUAAAUGGCAACACUGAAAUUUCCUUCAUGAAUGUCUCUGAUACUAGUUGUCGUGCUUUACCAAGAAUUAAAUGAUUUAGCUCAAGAUUAACUACAUGAAUUAGUUUCCUGCUGAUGUUGUAACAAGUGACCACAAACUGAGCGGUGUAAAAUAACAGCAGUGUAUUAUCUUAGUGUAUAAAGAUGAAUAUAAUUUUGAACAUGAAAUGUUUCUACAUUUCUUCUGAUUUUAAAACAAAACAUUUUCGUGGACCCCACGAUGUUUUGUGGGCUACAGGGACUGCACAUGCUCUGCAUGGGUAAGUUGGCCUUACAUAAAGGAUAAUUUAGUAACCAUGAUCCAAGCUAAUUGGUUAUGCAGUAUGCAUUGCCGAAUGACUCUAACUUCUGGGAGAUUCGGGCAUUUUUAAGAAAUAGAAAAAAAAAGAUAAAAGAUAAAAACCAAAGUACUAGCCUUUACUACGAGUAAUUUGUAAAACAUGUGAAACUUGCUGCCUCUAAGUGCGAUCCAUAAACCUAAUACUUAUAAAAAUAAAUAUAGUAAUAUGCUUUAAACUGACAUAUCCCUUUUAUAAACCUGAAUCACUAAUGGUUAAAAGAAGUUCCAAAUGCAUUUCAAAAAUAGUGAAAAUAGUCUGUAGUAACCACUCUUAGAUUUAUAGGACAGCUUGUCUAAAUCAUUUCAAGUUGGUGUGUUUCCAACUAUGUUCUUUUAUUAUCACUUUAGUCUCAUUUACGUUUUAGAGACCUACUACUGAUGAUCCUUGGUAAUUAUGUACAAUUGAUGAGAAAGAUAUGCAAGCAGUCAGUCAUUCAGGUCAGAGAUAUAAAAACCUCACUUCCAAAACAUCACUGUGGGCUUCCUCUUUAUUUCACCUUUGUGUUUCUUCUGCCUUUCAUUUCUUACAGCAGUUAAUACCACUGUUGAAACUAGCAUUUUAAAUAUAGAUGACCCUGGAAUUAUGAGAGCACUAGCAUGUGCAGUUUAUGAAUGCCAAUGGCACUGCAUCCGAGCUGCCUGCCGGCCCCUAUUUCUUGUGGAUGCCUCAGCAGAUCCAGUGCAGGUACUGAGGGGCGGACUGCCAGCAGUAGUGAGUCAGCUGGCUGGGUGUGCGAUUGCACUUAGUGCAGGUAUGGUUUUUGAUACUGCUCUUCACUUCUGUACUUUCUUCAGUUUUUAAAAUAAAAUUCCUCUACUUCAUGUCUUAGAAAAGGAGAUAUGAUGCACUGAAUGGCAAAUCACACAAAAGUGAAGAAAAAGCUCACUUCAGAUACAAAGGCUGGAAUAAAGCUGAAUGAACUAAAUUCCAAGUUAAAAUUGUCUCCUUUGGGUCUGAGUAUAAUUUGUUAGAACAAGGGAAAAUGUUUGAAGAAAAAAAUGUUAAAUCAAUUCAAUCAAUGGUGGCAUGAAAAAGCAUUGGCUGAAUGAUGAGGUGGGAACACGUGCAACUCUGUGAAUGCCUGCUCAGAGAAUACAUAUGCUGAUAA
rnacentral:lncRNA from 1 species